GGCGGAUUGCGUACUAGACUAUAUUCAUUACUAGAUCAAUUUGCAACUCUUGGCAACUUGUUACUUGCAAAAUGGAAAAGCAUAUUGUGCCUACCAAAUACUCAAAGGUUGGGCAAUUCGUGAGACUUGAGUUUUUUUGAUGCAAG